UACGUAGGGUGCAAGCGUUGUCCGGAAUUACUGGGUGUAAAGGGUGCGCAGGCGGGUCUGUGCGUCAAGGGUUAAAUAUCCCGGCUUAACCGGGAAAAUGCCCUUGAUACGGCGGAUCUUGAGUGUGAGAGAGGAUGGUAGAAUUCCUGGUGUAGCGGUGAAAUGCGUAGAUAUCAGGAGGAAUACCCGUGGCGAAGGCGGCCAUCUGGCUCACUACUGACGCUCAGGCACGAAAGCGUGGGGAUCAAACAGGAUUAGAUACCCUGGUAGUCCACGCCCUAAACGAUGUAUGCUUGGUGUUGGGGGUUAGACCCUCAGUGCCGAAGGAAACCCGUUAAGCAUACCACCUGGGGAGUACGAUCGCAAGGUUGAA
rnacentral:rRNA from 1 species